AUGCAUCAAAUUAGACUUAAAGUAUCUAACAUCCAACACAUCAAUUUUCAUAGAAUUAGAUACAUGAAAAACAUGUCAGAUGGUUGGAAAGAUUACGUAGUUUGGUGUCCUAUUUUUACCUACCUCACCAAAUAUCGUGCAUACCUAAAAAUAACAUACAAAGAAACAACGUCAGAUCAGAUACGCAUUCGACAAACUUAUAUUGUGAAAUCAUGUAUAUUAUGUGAGUCUACACUUCUCACAUACGCAAUGCAAACGAUUGAUGAUUUCCUCGCAAGUUUUUGCUACAUCAUGAAAUCUGUUUACAAAAGUUUUGUUUAA
rnacentral:rRNA from 1 species